UAAAGUGGAAAGAUUUGAGUUGAUUGCAACCACAAAAAAAAUGCUAAAACAAC
rnacentral:ncRNA from 1 species